GUCUAAAUAUAGAAACUUUAUUCACCAGGAUCAUUUUAGUAACUGCUACCUUCCCUUAUAACUAAUUUUUAAUAGGCAAACCCUACGCUAGUACCCAAAGUACUUUAGUUUAUUUCAAAUAUACUUGCAUUUGUGUAAGUAUAUUUUAAGUAUACUAAGUAUUAAGUGUACUACCUAUAAAUAUAUACGAAGCAUACUAAAAGUAUGUUAGACGAAAACACAACUGAACAACAACCGGAUGGAAAUGAAAUGAGGGUCACGAAAAGAGCCCGGAGGGAGGAAGGCUGCUAACGUGUUGCUAGCUGGUGUCUAAGCAAAUGAAGAUGAAAGAGGAAGCCAGAGAAAUCAGGUGUUAGGAAAACUAAAGACUUUCCUGUCUCAGAAGAGGCUCUGGCUCCACCAGAUCAACAACCAGCUCUGAGGAUGAACCUCCACAUUGUCUUCAUCGUGGCCCUGUGAUGGACUGGUGAC